rnacentral:lncRNA from 1 species
GAGAACAUAUAUCGUAUUCGUCCAAAACUGGCCUAAAUUGAAACCCACUUCAUCACACCAUUUUUUCCCAAAUCAAAGUCUGAAACCCUCGAACACAUUGAAUUUGGCGACUGUGCGGCACUUCACCAACUGCGGCAGCUAAAUCAUCGAACACGUUGGAAGCCAUUUUCUCCAUAUCUUUGAUUUGUACUUCGUGAAUCAUUUUAACCUGCUGUCACUAUUUAUUGCUUCGAAGGUGUCACCACCCAUCUUCUCCUACAUAAUAGUCAGCUAACGGGAGUAAGUACAUUGUUCGACUUACAUGGGUAUGGAUUUCUUGGCAAAAGUUCAAAUUUGUAGCCUGUCACACAAUAAGUUUAAUUUGGUGGAUUUCUUUAUAUUUGAAUCCAAAUUUGUCGGAUCUAUUUUAAGUUUCACAGGUGAGACGUGGGAGGUGAUGAUGGUGGUGGUGGGAUUAUUUAAGAUUUUAUCUCUAUUUCUUGCAACUUAAAUUCUUGGUCGAAUCUUGCAAAUAUGAACGAUGAAGAUGGCGAAUCCUACACAUGAACAACUGAAUUGUUAUUUUGAUUUUU